rnacentral:lncRNA from 1 species
UCACCUCUAUUUAAUCUAUUUUUCUAGGUUUCCUACCUUGUCAGAAAUACUGUUGAGAAGAGAUACAGGGACAGGCCCAAGAGCACAAGAGGCAUCCAGCUACACUAGAGGGUCCAUUAAACCUGUCCUUGAUGAGUUCCUUUUAGGACUGAUGUUGACUUAAAACUUCUGCUGGACAACAUGGAAAGAAUUCUGAGCUUCCUCCUUUAAAGAAGUCAAUUUGUAUUGUCUGAGCACAG